UGAGGAAUAUUGGUCAAUGGGCGCGAGCCUGAACCAGCCAAGUAGCGUGAAGGAUGAAGGUCCUAUGGAUUGUAAACUUCUUUUAUAGCAGAAUAAAGUGACCCACGUGUGGGUUUUUGUAUGUAUGCUAUGAAUAAGGAUCGGCUAACUCCGUGCCAGCAGCCGCGGUAAUACGGAGGAUCCGAGCGUUAUCCGGAUUUAUUGGGUUUAAAGGGUGCGUAGGCGGAAAGAUAAGUCAGCCUGUGAAAGUUUGCGGCUCAACCGUAAAAUUGCAGUUGAUACUGUUUUUCUUGAGUGUACAUAAGGUAGGCGGAAUUCGUGGUGUAGCGGUGAAAUGCUUAGAUAUCACGAAGAACUCCGAUUGCGAAGGCAGCUUACCGGGGUACAACUGACGCCGAUGCACGAAAGUGUGGGUAUCAAACA
rnacentral:rRNA from 1 species